AGAAAGAGAAGAGACAGAGAGAGGAGAGAGAGAGAGUGACCUGUCCCUGAAUUUUUAUUUCAUUUGGACAAAUAGAGAUAUAGACAAAGACUCUCUCUCUCUCUCUCUCUCUCUCUCUCUCUCUCUCUCUCUCA
rnacentral:miRNA from 1 species